GACGAACGCUGGCGGCGUGCCUAAUACAUGCAAGUAGAACGCAUUUGCGAACGGGUGAGUAACGCGUAGGUAACCUGCCUCAUAGCGGGGGAUAACUAUUGGAAACGAUAGCUAAUACCGCAUAUUUUGAGAUGGACCUGCGUUGUAUUAGCUAGUUGGUGAGGUAAAGGCUCACCAAGGCGACGAUACAUAGCCGACCUGAGAGGGGGAUCGGUCACACUUGGACUGAGACAGGGUCCAGAGUCCUACGGGAGGAAGCAGUGGGGAAGUUUGGACAAUGGGGGAAACCCUGAGCCAGCCAUCCCGCGUGUGCGAUGAAGGCCUUCGGGUUGUAAAGCACUUUUGGCAGGAAAGCGGUACCUGCAGAAUAAGCACCGGCUAACUACGAGCCAGCAGCCGCGGUAAUAC
rnacentral:rRNA from 1 species